UGACCCCGUGCGGGAGAGUCCUCCGACCAUCCUCGGAGGCGCCGAAGGAGCAAAUCCUCCCCGGAAUCUCUCAGGCCCACGUACCGCACGGACGAG
rfam:Streptomyces sp. CB01883 scaffold4, whole genome shotgun sequence.